GUUCAGAGCUCGGUAGUCUACACAAAAUCGCCAUCUUCCAUCCUUUUCUUUACUAGGAGUACAAGGUUCGAGAAUUGGCUUGUGAUACGCUGGAUAAUUCCUGCCGCUAGCAUCUCCCAGAUCAGUCGCUCAAUUUCAUUCUUCUUGAAGUGGGGGUAUCGGUAAGGCCGUGCACUCACUGGUUCAGCCCCUUUUUUAAUACUACUGCAUGGUCGUGUUUUCGUUUGGGGGGCAAUUGAGUGAUGUCCUAAAAAAUUGCCUUAAAUUCAUCCGGUACUUCUUCAAUGAUCGCUGGUGGCCGAUGUGAGGAUGGAAUGGAGGAUACAGUGAUGUUCCCUAACUCUAGGAGUAGCCCUUCUCCUUGUUUCUUGAAAGCCUUCCACAUAGAUUUUAAUGACACCGGACUUUUACUGAGGCUAGGGUCCCCCUGUAAGUUAACAGUCACCCCUUCCAUGGAAAAGGACAUAGUCAAGUUAUUCUAGUAAACUUGCAUUCUCCCUAACUUCCGCAAUCAUUGCAUUCCAAGUAUGACGUUGGAACUCCUUAAAUCCAACGGCAAGAAGUCCUCAACCACUAUCAAGCCCGACAAUCAAACCCGUACCCAUUAUUACUCCAUAACUAGUAGUGCCUGGGAAUGAAAGCCCUUCCUUUUGGAAAUUGUGCGAGGCCCCACUAUCGAUUAGUAUCACCACCUUCCUUUGACUGAUUAAUCCUUGUAAUUUCAUUGUGCCCGGAGCCGUCAAUCCAACUACAGAAUUAAUGGAAAGCUCAACCGGCUGGCUCAUUGUUGCUUCCUCAGUCUCUGGAACCACCAAGUCUUCUACCAAACUCUGGCCCCAUACCAACUCCUCUGGCCAUGGUUGCUCCUUCUCUUCCAGCUCUCGAAUAACCAACACUUGUAGCUCUUUACUCUUGCAUUGGUGACCAAUAGUGAACUUUUCAUCACAGCGAUAACGCAGGCCUUUCUUUUUUUUGGUCUGAAGUUCUGCGUCGAUGAGUCUAUUGAAGGGUGUGGAAAAUUUGGAAGAGAAAUUGGGGCGAUUUGUGGGUAAUUUUAGGUGCAUUGUUCGGUUCUGGGUGUUGAGGGAUUGUGGAGGGUUUGGGCUGUUAUAAUGGAUGCUUUUAGGUUUAAUUGGGCCUGGAUUGAUAUGGGUUGUCUGGCUAAUGGCAUUUCGAUCCUCCACCAUUUGGGCUACUUCCAUCAUUUGCUCCAAGCCCACUGGCCUGAGUAAAUACACUUCAGCCCUAAUUUCUGGCACCACCCCAUUAAGAAAAAUUGAUUCCAACAUCUCUUCAGAGACGUCCUUCAACGGUGUGGCUAAAGUCUCGAACCUCCGGCGGAAAUCUCUGACCGUGUCCUCCUGUCACUCCGACANUCUAUAACAUUCA
rnacentral:lncRNA from 1 species